CCUAGGUUUCAGUGUGUCAUUUCAUCUUGUGGAUCUCAUACCUGCUAUUGACAGGUGUUGUGUACUUGUCAAUGACUCGUUCCAUGAUUUGCAAAAUGGCUGACUGGUGCCAUAAAAACCAUUGUUAUGGUUACUCAUGUCUCAUGUGCAUAAUUGACUGAGUGAGUUUAGUUUUACGCCGCA